rnacentral:rRNA from 1 species
AUUGAACGCUGGCGGCAGGCCUAACACAUGCAAGUCGAACGAGGCGCGGACGGGUGAGUAAUGUCUGGGAACAUGCCUGAUGGAGGGGGAUAAUUUCUGGAAACGGUAGCUAAUACCGCAUACCAUCAGAUGUGCCCAGAUGGGAUUAGCUAGUGGGUGGGGUAACGGCUCACAAAGGCGACGACCCCUAGCUGGUCUGAGAGGAUGACGAGCAAACCUGGAACUGAGACAGGGUCCAGACGCCUACGGGAGGAAGCAGUGGGGAAGAUUGCACAAUGGGCGCAGGCCUGAGGCAGCCAUGCGGGGGGUAUGAGGAAGGCCUUCGGGUUGUAAAGUACUUUGAGCGGGGAGGCGUUACCCACAGAAGAAGCACCGGCUAACUCCGUGCCAGCAGCCGCGGUAAUAC